CAAGUGUUGCGACUCGAACGGUUAAACGUACCACCCACCCACCAUCUCAACCAGGGUGCUGGUUGGUCUAAUGUUACAAGUGCGGUGCCCGAACCCAAUGCAAACGACAUUCCACCGUGUGAUCAACACGAUCUUCACAAGUUGAUUCAUAUCGAGCCCUGAUGAAGAUCCCAACCAUAGGAUCGAAACGUAGGCAAUGAUUUAGAAUAAUCAACGCUUUUUCUGUGACUGAAAGCCGAAAACCUACCAAGUUUCCAUAGAUCCAGUCAGUCCCCGUAAGAAAUCACUUCAU